rnacentral:lncRNA from 1 species
UGUUCAUUAAGGAAGAAAGGAGAAAAUCAUAGAGUGAAAUGUUAAUUGGAAAAGAACACACUUAUUCAGCAAUGCUUGAAGAGGCCUCAAAGUCACCAAAGAGGACAUUCUAUUUUUAUUCUUCAUUUGAAAGGGGUGGACCUCUCAUUGGAUCUGUCCUCAUAGGAGAACUUUCAUGGGGAGAACCAGUCUCGUGCAGAGAGGCCAAGCAAAUGGAGACCAGCCUUCCAUCUCCUCUGAGCUCAGCUUCCCAUCACUCAUCCAAGUGGAAGGAGCAGAUAGUGAGAGAACAAGUCACAUGACAGAAGUUAGAGGGAGGGCCAGCCACAGCCAAGCCAGUCUGGACAAGAGGCCAUCAAUGUCAUCUCUUUGGCCACUUAAAACCAAGAACGCUCAGAUAACGACCCUGCUGUUCUGGAUGAGGGGAACGAGAAUAGAAAGACGGACAAUUAAUGCCGCUCAAUGUCUUUUCUUUUUG